UGUCAAAACAAGCAAUAUAUUUUUGUAGAAAAACAAUCCGAUGCAAUGUUUUGUACUUUGGAAGCCCUUUCCUAAACAAUAGAGGCAGGUUACCAGAACAAGCUUUAAUGUUUUGUACUUUGGAAGCCCUUUCCUAAACAAUAGAGGCAGGUUACCAGAACAAGCUUUAAUGUUUUGUACUUUGGAAGCCCUUUCCUAAACAAUAGAGGCAGGUUACCAGAACAAGCUUUAAUGUUUUGUACUUUGGAAGACCUUUCCUAAACAAUAGAGGCAGGUUACCAGAACAAGCUUUAAUGUUUUGUACUUUGGAAGCCCUUUCCUAAACAAUAGAGGCAGGUUACCAGAACAAGCUUUAAUGUUUUGUACUUUGGAAGCCCUUUCCUAAACAAUAGAGGCAGGUUACCAGAACAAGCUUUAAUGUUUUGUACUUUGGAAGCCCUUUCCUAAACAAUAGAGGCAGGUUACCAGAACAAGCUUUAAUGUUUUGUACUUUGGAAGCCCUUUCCUAAACAAUAGAGGCAGGUUACCAGAACAAGCUUUAAUGUUUUGUACUUUGGAAGACCUUUCCUAAACAAUAGAGGCAGGUUACCAGAACAAGCUUUAAUGUUUUGUACUUUGGAAGCCCUUUCCUAAACAAUAGAGGCAGGUUACCAGAACAAGCUUUAAUGUUUUGUACUUUGGAAGCCCUUUCCUAAACAAUAGAGGCAGGUUACCAGAACAAGCUUUAAUGUUUUGUACUUUGGAAGACCUUUCCUAAACAAUAGAGGCAGGUUACCAGAACAAGCUUUAAUGUUUUGUACUUUGGAAGCCCUUUCCUAAACAAUAGAGGCAGGUUACCAGAACAAGCUUUAAUGUUUUGUACUUUGGAAGCCCUUUCCUAAACAAUAGAGGCAGGUUACCAGAACAAGCUUUAAUGUUUUGUACUUUGGAAGCCCUUUCCUAAACAAUAGAGGCAGGUUACCAGAACAAGCUUUAAUGUUUUGUACUUUGGAAGCCCUUUCCUAAACAAUAGAGGCAGGUUACCAGAACAAGCUUUAAUGUUUUGUACUUUGGAAGCCCUUUCCUAAACAAUAGAGGCAGGUUACCAGAACAAGCUUUAAUGUUUACGCCGAUGGACCGUCUUUCAUUUAAUGUGAGAAUGAACUUUGACCUAAUAACAUGACUCACAAUAAGUCCAUGUAAUCAGCGAAGCCGUGCUGUUAAAUAGUUGAGGAUGAACCGUCACUGAGUCAUAAAUCGCUUGAUGGAACCUGAAACGAUUUGUCUUGUUUGACCAUGUUUUCUAAUAUGCUCUUAUCCUCAAUCACUCCGUGCUUGUUAAACAUGCUUAUUGUUAGCUCUACUCAACAAAUCAAUGUGCCACUUUGUUAAAUGUGUGUGUUGCUGCUGUUAGCUAAUCUUGAUUUGAGUAAAAGGAAAAGUCUUUAAUAGGUUGUGUUAAGAAAACUAAUUAUUGUUAACCAACUGUGAGUUAAGAGUUAUUUAUAGUUUUUAGAUUUCCUCAGAGCUUGUAGAGGGAAACUACAGUAGUAAAGUCAGUAUUGUUUCAAUGUCAACUCUGACUCAUACCAUUUACAGUCACCUUUAUUAAAGAUGCACAGAACCACCAUGUGGAAAUGGACCAAAGGGAAUUAGAAAGUAGAUAAGGUUUUAUUGUAUUUUUUUUUCAAUUGUACAUUUGUCCCUAUUUGUGUAAUUCUGUCUGGUUUUAAUUAAACACGGAGCUUUGUUGUGAAGUCUCA